rnacentral:tRNA from 1 species
GUGGAUAUAAUUUAAAUAAAAUAUUAGAAUGUGAAACUAAAAAUAGGGAAUAAACACCCCUUAUCCACC